rnacentral:lncRNA from 1 species
GGUUGAACUAAUUCAUAUAUUUGAAAUUAGGUGGUUGAAUAACGCUGGAACGGCCAUAUGGAUUCAAUUUCUUGAUCGACCAAUAACCUUGUUUCGACUGAAACCAAUACGUGCAAGUAGUCAAUUUGACAGUUGAAAUAAACACUGCUUUUGAAUUGCAAGUGAACAUAAAUGAACAAGCUUUCAUCUGGCUGUACAGAGUGUGAAGUAAAUGGUGCAGCAAGUAUAAAUGAAAGAAGAAGCGGGGGCGGUUGAAGAACUUAAAUAGUAGGUUUUAAUCCGUCGAGACACUACAAGCACAUAUGUAAUAUUCAAAAGAUGAUGCAACUGCAGUUCUUAGUAGUUGGGGUCAGAAAACCAAGCUUCGAUGUCAUGACAUAACAAAAGAUACAAUAAAAAUUGCACGGACAUAAUAGUUGUCAGGCUUCCAUAACAACGUUACCAAGUCGGUAAAAGCUAGGAAUAACAAAACACAUACAAGUAGUUUCAUAUUAGAGAAUAUAUGAAUUUGUGGAGCAUAGAUAAAGUCUAAAUUUCCUGGUUGGCGGAGUUUCUUUGAUGAUCUUGUUCUUGCUCGAGUCAAUUUGUGCAAUUCAGUCUCCAAGACCCGAAGAUUUUUUUCGAGACCCCAUACAUAUUUUGCUUGUUCACCAACGCAGUUUGAAGUUCGAUCAAAUAAGUCUGCUGGUAAGAAGGUUGAGAUUAAGUUACCCAUUGUCGUUGACGAAAAGAGGAAGAGAAGCAAUGAGUACAAUGAAAAGAAUUAAGCAAAUUUGGUGAGGGUAUUUUUAGAGAACCACAAUACCAAAAUAAAAAUAUGAUACAUUUGUUGCUUUAGUCAAGAUGUCAAAUAUCAAGAAUAUAAUGAUACGUUUACACGUCAUAUAAAAUUUGUAAUUCAUUUCAGUAAUGACAGAAUUAAUAUUAAAUCUUAUCAUUUAUUAUUUAAGUGAUAAAUUUAUAUUGAGAAUAUUUAUUUAGAAAAAAAAAUUUGUGCCUUGACUUUGGAUGAAGAUCCAAAAUAUUAAGUCAAUGAUAGUUAGAUAAAAAAAUAAAAUAAAAUAAAUUUUAACAUUAAUUUUUUAGUUAAUAAAAAAUAAAUUCAAUACAGAAUUCUAAUCCCUCAGAUUUACAAGUGCAAUGAAUGAUGAUGUAAAGAAUUAUUAUUAUUUUUUUGGUUAAAGUGCUAAGAUUUGGAGAGACUAAAUCAUCUUUUUGGGCUGCGCCUACGGUGCCCCGGGCACUGUACCCCUCUUUUUGUUUGUAGUGAAGUUGCCGUUUGAUGAAAAGGAGCAAGAUGGUGCAGCUGUUAAGCAGGCUCGUAGCCCAAUAGGCAAACAGGGGGAUGCAGAUCAUGCCAUCAGAACUGUUUGAGUUGCAAGAAAAUGUUGAUAUAUUAUAACAAUAAAUAUAUUAGUCGGAACAACUAUUUUAGCAGCAAUUAAGUUGUAAGGAACAAUAAAAUGUACAUUACAUACAAGUUUAUGUAUCAAAAGCCAAAAAUUUCAGUAUACUAUUGUAGCUGUAAAAACAAGUAAUAGGAUUACUAACACUGUAAGUUUUUUUUUUUUUUUAAUUACAACACUGUAAGGUUAAUGGAAGGAAAAUCUGUCUAAGCCUGAAAGGAUACAAACUACAUCCGUUCGAAUUUAUGAUAGCUGAAAAAUCUUUCAUGAUUUGUACCACGCCUUUGAUCACUGAAUUGGGUUGAACUAAUUCAUAUAUUUGAAAUUAGGUGGUUGAAUAACGCUGGAACGGCCAUAUGGAUUCAAUUUCUUGAUCGACCAAUAACCUUGUUUCGACUGAAACCAAUACGUGCAAGUAGUCAAUUUGACAGUUGAAAUAAACACUGCUUUUGAAUUGCAAGUGAACAUAAAUGAACAAGCUUUCAUCUGGCUGUACAGAGUGUGAAGUAAAUGGUGCAGCAAGUAUAAAUGAAAGAAGAAGCGGGGGCGGUUGAAGAACUUAAAUAGUAGGUUUUAAUCCGUCGAGACACUACAAGCACAUAUGUAAUAUUCAAAAGAUGAUGCAACUGCAGUUCUUAGUAGUUGGGGUCAGAAAACCAAGCUUCGAUGUCAUGACAUAACAAAAGAUACAAUAAAAAUUGCACGGACAUAAUAGUUGUCAGGCUUCCAUAACAACGUUACCAAGUCGGUAAAAGCUAGGAAUAACAAAACACAUACAAGUAGUUUCAUAUUAGAGAAUAUAUGAAUUUGUGGAGCAUAGAUAAAGUCUAAAUUUCCUGGUUGGCGGAGUUUCUUUGAUGAUCUUGUUCUAAAGCUAAUACCAUUCAACUUUAAAAUGUACCUCACAGUAUCAAUCAUCUCAAUUAACUAGCCACAAAGUUUCCUUUUUAGCUUGCCAUGGUUCAGUUGUAGCAAACUACCAAAGCCCAUUUGACAAGCAGCCACUCUUUGUUUAUCUGUCAGCUGUGAAACUGCCACCGCUAAUCUAUCUGGAGUACAUCUGGUUAAGAACUUUGCAUUUGCGACUGCUGACUUCACUAUCCAUUCGCAUUGACUUUGUAUUGACAUUUUCUCUCCGGUGGUAAAUUCUUAGACAUGGAUUCAAUUUCCGUCCAGUACACAAUCAUGGCAAAUAAACUAACUACACCUUCACUACUUGAAAAUACAAAUUCAUUUUAUUUUUAUAGUGCAACUUCACAUACCUCUUUUGUAACGCAAGUCAAUCCAUCGCUUGCCUUAAUCUCACGCACGACUUCACCGCUACAAUAUCAUCAUAUGAUUGCGAAAUGAUGUAUCUCUAUAAUUUUUAAUGAACCUUUAACUAAGCUUACAAAUAUCUUAUGAACCCACCACGGCAUUGCCUUUUUAUUCUUCCUUCAAUGCUUUGAUCACCACCAACUUCUACAGCACCGCCAUCAAUCUCACAUGAUUUAUGCUUAUUACUUCCCACCAACUUAAUUUAUGAAAUUCAACGAUACCUUUAUUUAUUAUAAUCAAACUAAAGUUCAUAGCAUCAUACAGUUUACAUUCCUAGUCCAGCACAAAAAAAAAACAUAUAAUUAACCCCAAAACAAACAAAAAAAUUGGGGGAAAAAAUAAACAGAGGAGAUCUGGAACAAAGGGUAAGCAUGUAUCAUUUGCAUGUGUUACCAUCUUAAUGCUAACUGUUGAGUGUUAGAAAAUGUAUAUUUAUAAAGGAGAAAAUCAUCAUUUUACACUUCAAGUUUUACUAACACCCUUACUUUUAUGUAUUUAAGCUUCUUGUCAUUUAAUUAUGUGUGUUGUAUUAUAAUUAAGUAUUUUAUGUAUUUUAGAGGCAUCAUAGUCAUUUCACAAUGAACGAGAGAUCAGACGAUAAAACAGACAUCACUUUUGAACUCAGGACGGUGAAUUGGAUCAUUGCCUAUUGAUUUAUUGGUAAAAUUAAAAGCACCACAAAAUAACAAAAAGAAAUUGAUUUAUAUCACAAAAUCUUUCAUUUCACAUUUAAAUAUUAUUAGUAUAUAUUACAAAUUCAACUUCAAUAGCCAAAAAAUGAGAUAUCCUACUCUCAUAACUAAAUAAUCUAAAUUCAAUACAUAAAAAUUUCACCAUCCAAUCAAAUGUCUACUACUUGUGGCCAAAUUUAAUAAAUCUAGAAGCUAAAUUGAUAAUGAUGACUGUCUUUCACUCUUUGAAUAUGAGUAGUAUAAUUGCGUUAUCACACCAGCAGCUUCUCCAUUUAAUAAACUGUAUGGGUUAUGAUACAAGUGAAGUUGAGGAAUAAACACUUCAAACACAUUGAGCAAAUCUGCAUACAUGGAAAAGGGAGAAAAAAUUAGCUGCCAAUUCCCAACCAUUAGAGAAACAAUGGUUAAUAUAAAUAAAUCUAUUUUGUUCUAAAGAAAAAAUAUUCAUACACUAUUUAUAAGUAAACUCAGUUAUUUCAAAGAAAAAUUAGUGAACAAGGAAGUUGUAGUUUAUUUCCUUACAAAUACUAAAGAAAUACAGUUUAUUCCCAGUAACUACAUCAUAAUGUUGAGCAAUUAAUUACUAAGGCAUCAGCCAAGUAGUUAGUGCAGGGACUGACUUCAUUCAUUGCCUUAAAAAAAUCCAAUAACCUUGCUGCCUCCUUAUUUAUAUGCAUACUUCCAAUGCUUAAUUAUUUUGCUGCAGAGAAAGAAAGUUAAUAGAAAUGACAAACUGAUAGCGUUUCUGCAAUUUUCAGAUAAUCACACAGAGCAUUUUUUUCUGCUGUACCGUACAUCCGCCUUGGCCGUACAGCAGAUAAAACCCAAGCUAACUGGGACUUAUUGCUAUGGAUUCGAAUAUCAUUUUAAUACAUGAAAUUACUAAAAUAAACAUUACUAUAUUGUUGAGAAAAUAUCCAUAAAUUUAUUUUUAAAAAAUUUUUGCUCCCCAAUUUUGCCAUUAUCAGUAUGAAAUCUAAUUUCCUACCAACUAUAUUAUGAUAAAAAAAUGAUUCACAUAAAAAAUCUCAUAUUAAAAAUACACUUACCUUAAGUUUUAGUAUACGCAAUCCCUUUCGUUUCAUUCAAUACUACCGCAACAAACUACAAGUCACCGUAAUCUACUUUAAAAAUUCGCAGCAUCACUACUUCAGUUACAGUUAUCCAGAAUUAAGAAAAUAUUACUGCUUGAAAAAUUUCACUGACGUCUGUUGAAAUACGAGCAAAUGUUUAUAGAACCCUAAAACUAAUUUGGUAGCUGAAACAAGUUUGGACAGUUGCCCACUUCACGUCAUUGUUCAGUUUUAAAAUCCUAAUCGUUGGAUUAGAGUCAUUAUAAUCUAACGACUGGCUUGGAUAAUGAUAAAAGAAAGAGGUACGGUUAGGGGAGGACAAAAUCAAAUUCGGGUCCGGUUCGGGUCAACUCGAUCGGGUUCAGGUUGUUAGAGUUGGGCAAACGUUGAUCCGAAUGCAACCCUAACUUACGACCCGACCCGAUCCGAUCCGAUAUAUAUUCAGAUCGGAUCAAAAAUCAGGUUAGAUUCGGGUAGGAUCGGAUUCGGGUUAACCAUAUAUAAUAUACCAUCAAAGAUUCAAAGCUUCAAAACUCAAUAGUCAAAACUCAGUCUCGAAGUAGAGAAACUUAGGUUGGGUUGGAAGCUUAGAGCAGCAGAAUGCAUAUCGGGUUUGGGUCGGCGGCAUAUCGGUGGCACUUGGCACUUCGUAGCAGAUCGGUGGCCACGGACGCGCAGCGCAACAGCAGAUCAAGGACUUGAUCCGGUGCAUAGCAGCAGAUCGCAGAUUGGCGAACUCACAGCAGCAAAUCGUAGAUCGAUGAACUCACAGCAGCAGAUCGCAGACUGGCGAACUCACAGCAGCAGGUAGGCGAACACGCAGUAGGUCGAACACUUCUUGAGGGUUAGGCUGUGACUUGUGUCUGUGUGGACUCCGUUGGCGACUUGGCGUUGGCCGUUGGGUGUGAGUGAUUGUGGAUGUGUUUUGUGUUAGGAGGACCCGAGGAGGGUUGAGUUCGCUGUGACUUCACUGACUUGUGUUUGUGUGUGGAUUGUAAAUGAAUCUGUGAGCAUGAUUUGUGUUGUGUGUGAGAUUUGUGUUGUGUGUGUAUUGUAAAUGAAUUUGUAAGUGUGAUUUGUGUUGUGUGUGACUCUGUGUGGCAUGCGUGUAUGUGUUUAUUUUAUUUUUUUAAAGAACCCGAUCGAGUUUUACUGUUUUCGUCCAAUCGGAUUUUUUUUUACAAUCCGAUCCGAUCCAAACCCGAAACAUUUUAGGUCGAGUCGAAAUAAUUUACCCACCCCUGGAUACGGUACCCAAGGGGCACCAUAACUGGACCCAUCUUUUUGACCCAAAAGCUAACCUACUAAAUAACAAAAAAAUUAUUUAUUAUUUAUUGUUAUCAUUAUCAUGGGUCCAGUUGUGAUGACAAUCUAUUAUUGGCCUCGAUUUAUAGGUGGGUUUUGAUGGCCAUAUUGCAUUGACGUCUGUUGAAAUACGAGCAAGGGUUUAUAGAACCCUAAAACUAAUUUGGUAGUUGAAACGGGUUUGGACAAUCGCCCACUUCACGUCAUUGUACAGUUGCCCUAUUCACAUCAUUGUUCAGUUUUAGAGUCAUUAUAAUCUAACGACUGGCUUGGAUAAUGAUAAAAGAAAGAGGUACGGUUAGGGGAGGACAAAAUCGAAUUCGGGUCGGGUUCGGGUCAACUCGAUCGGGUUUCGGGUUGUUCUAGUUGGGCAAACAUUGAUCCGAAUGCAACCCUAACUUACAACCCAACGCAACCCGACCCAACCCAACCUAACCCGAUCCGAUAUAUAUUUGGAUCGGAUCAAAAAAUCAGGUUAGAUUCGGGUAGGAUCAGAUUCGGGUUAACCAUAUAUAAUAUAUCAUCAAAGAUUCAAAGCUUCAAAACUCAGUAGUCAAAACUCAGUCUUGAAGUAGAGAAACUCAGGUUGGGUUGGAAGCUUAGAGCAGCAGAAUGCAUAUCGGGUUUGGGUCGGCGGCAUAUCGGUGGCACUUGGCACUUCGUAGCAGAUCGGUGGCCACGGACGCGCAGCGCAACAGCAGAUCAAGGACUUGAUUCGGUGCGUAGAAGUAGAUCGCGGAUCGGCGAACUCACAGCAGUAGAUCGCAGACUGGCGAACUCACAGCAGCAGGUAGGCGAACACGCAGUAGGUCGAACACUUCUUGAGGGUUAGGCUGUGACUUGUGUCUGUGUGGACUCCGUUGGCGACUUGGCGUUGGCCGUUGGGUGUGAGUGAUUGUGGAUGUGUUUUGUGUUAGGAGGACCCGAGGAGGGUUGAGUUCGCUGUGACUUCACUGACUUGUGUUUGUGUGUGGAUUGUAAAUGAAUCUGUGAGCAUGAUUUGUGUUGUGUGUGAGAUUUGUGUUGUGUGUGUAUUGUAAAUGAAUUUGUAAGUGUGAUUUGUGUUGUGUGUGACUCUGUGUGGCAUGCGUGUAUGUGUUUAUUUUAUUUUUUUAAAGAACCCGAUCGAGUUUUACUGUUUUCGUCCAAUCGGAUUUUUUUUUACAAUCCGAUCCGAUCCAAACCCGAAACAUUUUAGGUCGAGUCGAAAUAAUUUACCCACCCCUGGAUACGGUACCCAAGGGGCACCAUAACUGGACCCAUCUUUUUGACCCAAAAGCUAACCUACUAAAUAACAAAAAAAUUAUUUAUUAUUUAUUGUUAUCAUUAUCAUGGGUCCAGUUGUGAUGACAAUCUAUUAUUGGCCUCGAUUUAUAGGUGGGUUUUGAUGGCCAUAUUGCAUUGACGUCUGUUGAAAUACGAGCAAGGGUUUAUAGAACCCUAAAACU